rnacentral:rRNA from 1 species
AAUAGAUACCCCGGUAGUCCACGCCGUAAACGAUGAGUGCUAAGUGUUAGAGGGUUUCCGCCCUUUAGUGCUGCAGCUAACGCAUUAAGCACUCCGCCUGGGGAGUACGGCCGCAAGGCUGAAACUCAAAGGAAUUGACGGGGGCCCGCACAAGCGGUGGAGCAUGUGGUUUAAUUCGAAGCAACGCGAAGAACCUUACCAGGUCUUGACAUCCUCUGACAACCCUAGAGAUAGGGCGUUCCCCUUCGGGGGACAGAGUGACAGGUGGUGCAUGGUUGUCGUCAGCUCGUGUCGUGAGAUGUUGGGUUAAGUCCCGCAACGAGCGCAACCCUUGAUCUUAGUUGCCAGCAUUUAGUUGGGCACUCUAAGGUGACUGCUGGUGACAAACCGGAGGAAGGUGGGGAUGACGUCAAAUCAUCAUGCCCCUUAUGACCUGGGCUACACACGUGCUACAAUGGAUGGUACAAAGAGCUGCGAACCCGCGAGGGUAAGCGAAUCUCAUAAAGCCAUUCUCAGUUCGGA